CCCCCCACCACCACCACCACCACCCGCCCCAUUCAGCUCCUGCCAGAACCUUCUCGUAUUUUUACCGCUGCGACAAGUUGGUUUUCUUCAACCCGGGGAUGGAGACAGAGGACCUGCAGCGGCCAGCAGCUGUUUGACACAUGCCUCCUCCAGCACCACUACACACACGCGCGCACGCACGCACACAAAAAACACUGGUGUUUGUCCCACUUAUUUCCUACAGAAGUGUGUGUGUGUGUGUGUGUGUGUGAGUGUGUGUGAGUGAGUGAGUGAGUGAGUGUGUCGACUGCUUCACCGCCGCCUGUGUCGUGUGUAAAGUCUAAAACACCUGGACGAAGGUGGACCAGGAGCUGACUUCCCCCCGGUCGGAGGUUCGAGGACGACCUCAGGUCAGUCCAGAAAAUCUGCAACAGACUCAGCGUUGUUAGCAUGCUGUCAGUGACUGCGCCGCCACAGCUACUGAUAGGAGGAAUCUGGAGGGGCCGACAGGGCAGAGACUGCGCAGAUACUGACGCACCGCAGGACGCCUGCACCGGAGCCGCAAGUCUGGAGCUGGCAGUUUAACAUCUGCACAGCUAUUAAAUAGUACAGCCUGUGCAUGGCGCACAAAAUGGUUCCAGCAUAUGCGGAGGGGUGCGGAGGAUUUAUCACUAUUUUGAUUGGUUUUUAAUUAGAGCAAGAUUUUUUUUUAGAUUUUUAUUAAAUAUAUAUAUAUAUAUAUAUAAUGCACGGUAUUUAAUGUAACUUGUUUAAUUCCAUCACUUCUUUCGUAUCUUUAUCUAUAUUUUUAAAAAUAUACUUUCAACUAUGUCUAAGAAGAGAAUGAAUGUACGGGCAUUAAAGAUUUCGUACGACGACAUUUCUUUUUUUUCAGGAAGGCCUAAACAACAACCACAAAAAUCAAAUUUAAGCCUGUUUAUACUAUCACUCCAUGACAGUAACGAACAGAGAGGCCACGGUGUGCUGUCUGGAUCAUGGUGUAAACAUGGGUCCAAUCUUUUUUUUAACAUUUAAAUUAUAAUUUUAACUUUAACAUGUUAUCGGAUUAAUAGUGAUAAAAAUGAAAACUAUAUUUGUUUACUUAUUUAUAUUUAAAAAUCAAAGGAAAACGGGACAAAAUCUGAAUUCAGUCUAUGAUUUUGGUAGUAUUCAUCUUAGUAUUUAUAUAUAAUAUUCUGUAUUAUUUUGUAUUAUUAUGUUUCGAUGUUAGGAACCGCCGUUUAAAUGGUAUCUAAAAAAUGUACUACAUUAAUCAUAAUAUUGUGUUUCCUCCCAGCUUCAGAUGUGUCUAAGGUCAGAGAUGAUGCAGAUUUUCUGCACGCCUCAGCUGAAAAACUGCUGACUGGCAUUUUUAUUGACUGGGUCGUAACUACUGCCACAAACGACGACUAUUGUCACAGGAGCCGCAGCUGGUUCAAUUAUUCACAUUGUCAAAAAUAUUUUUCGUUUGCUCAACGAAGCAAAAAAUGUGGAAAACAACUACGUGAUUUCUGUAAUGACCUGCUCGCGUCCACGAACCAAAAACAUCAGGGCUUCUACGAAAAGAGCAACAAACGAUAUAUGUGUGAAUGGAAGAAGCUGAAAUUCGGUGACUUAUAGAUCAAAAAUAUUAUAACAAUAAAUACAAUAAAUAAUAUUCUUAUAUUGGAAAAGAUGAUCAGUCAUCGAUUAGUCGACAGUUGGUGGCAGAUCAACCGAUAAAUGUUAAAAAAUGUUAUUUCAUAAUUUAUU